rnacentral:misc_RNA from 1 species
GCAGCAAUUAAGAGAUUUACAGUGAUUAAAACUCUAUGGGAACUGGAGUGUGCUAAGAUAAGACCAAUUUAAAUUUUAAAUUCCCGGGAAGUGCAUCAGGGACACUGGAAUAUUUUUUCAAUUUUUGAACACUAAGGAGAUAUGCUAAGUCUAAUCUUUAUCCACCCAGAAUGGCUUAAUCAAAAGCAAGUUCACUCUUACCUUUCCUCUUCUCUCCUUUCUCGUUCGGUAUGCUCCCCAAUCCUCUUUCAGUGAGUACUAUGUUCUUCUACUGCUUCACUUCAUUUAAUACAGAUUUUUUGUCUAUGUACCUGACAUCACUUACUCCUUU